rnacentral:rRNA from 1 species
CCUACGGGAGACAGCAGUCGAGAAUCAUUCACAAUGGGGGAAACCCUGAUGGUGCGACGCCGCGUGGGGGAAUGAAGGUCUUCGGAUUGUAAACCCCUGUCAUGUGGGAGCAAAUUAAAAAGAUAGUACCACAAGAGGAAGAGACGGCUAACUCUGUGCCAGCAGCCGCGGUAAUACAGAGGUCUCAAGCGUUGUUCGGAAUCACUGGGCGUAAGGCGUGCGUAGGCUGUUUCGUAAGUCGUGUGUGAAAGGCGCGGGCUCAACCCGCGGACGGCACAUGAUACUGCGAGACUAGAGUAAUGGAGGGGGAACCGGAAUUCUCGGUGUAGCAGUGAAAUGCGUAGAUAUCGAGAGGAACACUCGUGGCGAAGGCGGGUUCCUGGACAUUAACUGACGCUGAGGCACGAAGGCCAGGGGAGCGAAAGGGAUUAGAUACCCCUGUAGUC